rnacentral:rRNA from 1 species
AUUGAACGCUGGCGGCAGGCCUAACACAUGCAAGUCGAGCGAAUGAAGUUCCUUCGGGAACGGAUUUAGCGGCGGACGGGUGAGUAACACGUGGGCAACCUGCCUCAUAGAGGGGAAUAGCCUUCCGAAAGGAAGAUUAAUACCGCAUAAGAUUGUAGCUUCGCAUGAAGCAGCAAUUAAAGGAGCAAUCCGCUAUGAGAUGGGCCCGCGGCGCAUUAGCUAGUAGGUGAGGUAACGGCUCACCAAGGCGACGAUGCGUAGCCGACCUGAGAGGGUGAUCGGCCACAUUGGGACUGAGACACGGCCCAGACUUCUACGGGAGGCAGCAGUGGGGAAUAUUGCACAAUGGGGGAAACCCUGAUGCAGCAACGCCGCGUGAGUGAUGACGGUCUUCGGAUUGUAAAGCUCUGUCUUCAGGGACGAUAAUGACGGUACCUGAGGAGGAAGCCACGGCUAACUACGUGCCAGCAGCCGCGGUAA